rnacentral:rRNA from 1 species
CACAAACGCUGGCGGCGUGCCUAACACAUGCAAGUCGUACGAGAAAGGGUCCUUCGGGGCCUGAGUAAAGUGGCGCACGGGUGAGUAACGCGUGGAUAAUCUGCCCUUCAGUUGGGAAUAACUCAUCGAAAGGUGGGCUAAUACCGAAUAAUGCUGUGAGACCUCGGUUGAUCAGCCAAAGAGAGCCUCUGCUUGCAAGCCCUCGCUGAAGGAUGAGUCCGCGUACCAUUAGCUAGUUGGUAGGGUAAUGGCCUACCAAGGCGACGAUGGUUAGCUGGGCUGAGAGGAUGAUCAGCCACACUGGGACUGAGACACGGUCCAGACUCCGACGGGAGGCAGCAGUGAGGAAUCUUGCGCAAUGGGGGCAACCCUGACGCAGCAACGCCGCGUGAGUGAGGAAGGUCUUCGGAUCGUAAAGCUCUGUCGGAUGGAAAGAACCGCAUAGGGGUAAACAGCCCCUGUGUCUGACGGUACCAUCAAAGGAAGCACCGGCUAACUCCGUGCCAGCAGCCGCCGUAAGAC